UUGUUUGUGGAUCGGGGUCUCACACACUAAUCUCUAUAGGUGCCUGUAAUAGGCCGACCAACCUACCUAAACCAAUCAUCAUAUCGGUCCCUAAGCCCUAUUGCUGUUGUUAUUUUUGUUUUUUGCUGUUUGAAUGAGUUAUUGCCUUAUUGGAUUAGUGGUUCAGAUAUUUCAGAGACGGAGAAACUAUUGCAGUCAUAUAUUUUAGAGCUGGAUAUGUACCCACCGAUUAUCCGUCUCUAAACAGAGCGGAAAGCUAGACUAUUGAUGGAAGAGUCUUCAGCUACAUAUUAAGUGCCCUUCAAUCUCUUAUCAUCUGACUGGCACCAUGAAAGUUUACCAGGAGCUUGCAAAACCAACUGCGCUUGAGAGGUAACAAUAAAGAUAUACGAUAUGACCUUCCAUGAGACAUGAUUAAAUGGACCCAAUUUUGGAGAUGUUAAUUAAUGUACUCCAUUUUGGCAUUUUCCAAUCAAAGACAUGAGUCUGUGUACUAUGAUGUAGUUACUAGCGUGUCCUUGUAAUUGUAUCAUUAAUUGUUUUAUUAUUAUAGUUUGUACUAUUGAAUUUAUCUCAA